rnacentral:autocatalytically_spliced_intron from 1 species
AACCGCCGGAUGCGAGGCCCGCAUGUCCGGUGGUGUGGGGGAGGGCCGGGUGAACCGGCCCUCCUACCCGAU